rnacentral:lncRNA from 1 species
AACAAGAAAAACUACAAGUAAGAAUAUAUCAAAAAUGAUAGGUGUCCACUUAUAAAUUAAAUAGAUAAUUAUGUCUAUAGUUAUUGUUAAAUACAAGUGGACACACACAAUCAUUUCAGCUAUUCCUUCUGCCAACAGGAUUUUAAGAUGUGACAUUUAUGGUCUAGAUUUUUGACUUUGUACAAGCACCAAAUGUUGUUUAAAGUAACAGUUGAUGUAUUUAUUUAGAUGUCUUCCAUUUAACUUAUCUA